GGUUAAGCGAAUAAGCGUACACGGUGGAUGCCUAGGCAGUCAGAGGCGAUGAAGGACGUGCUAAUCUGCGAUAAGCGCCGGUAAGGUGAUAUGAACCGUUAUAACCGGCGAUUUCCGAAUGGGGAAACCCAGUGUGAUUCGUCACACUAUCAUUACCUGAAUACAUAGGGUAAUGAAGCGAACCGGGAGAACUGAAACAUCUAAGUACCCCGAGGAAAAGAAAUCAAACGAGAUUCCCCCAGUAGCGGCGAGCGAACGGGGAGCAGCCCAGGACCUUAAUCAGCAUCAGUGUUAAGAGAACAGUCUGGAAAGGCUGGCCACAGCAGGUGAUAGCCCUGUAUCUGAAAGCACUGG
rnacentral:rRNA from 1 species